GAACGACCUUCCAACGCCGCUCACGCCUCGCCAUGUUCUUUCUCCAUUUUUACCCAGCAAUUAUAUAUGCAGCGACUGAAUGUUGAAGAUGGAUCCUCCUCGCCGUGACCAAGAUGAACCCUGGAUAUUGGACGCUCCCCGCUUUCAGAUUCGGAAGGAGCAUUUGAUUGAGAAAAAGACGAAAAGGACCGACCGGUGAGCCAGGAAUGACCAAAAUCGAGGUGAAAUUGGUUAAGAGCUUGAACUUGGGUUUCUUCAGACCCCGCUUGUAAACUCCAGAAAGUAGCAUUUAUUGGACCUGCAUCAGCCGUCGGUACCUGGGCAAAGGUAGCAACCGUGAAAAUAGCUGGCGCCCGCACACCACACGUUUUACACAGAAGUUUCAGACUCACUACUCGCAGCCUUGCUGCCAGCUUCCCCUUGUACGGAAGAAGAAGCCUGCUUACCCACCUCGUCUGCCUGGAGUUCAG